rfam:Triticum aestivum genome assembly, contig: Triticum_aestivum_CS42_TGACv1_scaffold_003046_1AL
UGGAUACUCCCUCCGUCCGGAAAUACAUGUCAUCAAAAUGAAUAAAAGGGGAUGUAUCUAGAUGUGUAUUAGUUCUAGAUACAUCCAUUUUUAUCCAUUUUGAUGAAAAAGUAUUUUCAGAUGGAGGGAGUACUAG